rnacentral:rRNA from 1 species
GACAGAGGCCUCGAGCGUUAGGCGGAAUCACUGGGCUUAAAGCGUGUGUAGGCGGAAGAGUAAGUACCUUGUGAAAUCCCACGGCUCACCCGUGGAACCGCUGGGUAUACUGCUCUUCUUGGGCCACUCAGGGGCGACUGGAACAAGCGGUGGAGCGGUGAAAUGCGUAGAUAUCGACUUGGAACGCCGAAGGUGAAAACAGGUCGCUGGGAGUGCGCCGACGCUGAGACACGAAAGCCAGGGGAGCAAACGGG